UGGCGGACGGGUGAGUAAUGUCUGGGAAACUGCCCGAUGGAGGGGGAUAACUACUGGAAACGGUAGCUAAUACCGCAUAACGUCGCAAGACCAAAGAGGGGGACCUUCGGGCCUCUUGCCAUCGGAUGUGCCCAGAUGGGAUUAGCUAGUAGGUGGGGUAACGGCUCACCUAGGCGACGAUCCCUAGCUGGUCUGAGAGGAUGACCAGCCGCACUGGAACUGAGACACGGUCCAG
rnacentral:rRNA from 1 species